rnacentral:rRNA from 1 species
GAGUUUGAUCAUGGCUCAGAUUGAACGCUGGCGGCAGGCCUAACACAUGCAAGUCGAGCGGUAACAGAACUAGCUUGCUAGUUGCUGACGAGCGGCGGACGGGUGAGUAACGCGUAGGAAUCUGCCCGGUAGCGGGGGAUAGCCCAGAGAAAUUUGGAUUAAUACCGCAUACGCCCUACGGGGGAAAGCAGGGGAUCUUCGGACCUUGCGCUAUCGGAUGAGCCUGCGUCGGAUUAGCUAGUUGGUGGGGUAAUGGCCUACCAAGGCGACGAUCCGUAGCUGGUCUGAGAGGAUGAUCAGCCACACCGGAACUGAGACACGGUCCGGACUCCUACGGGAGGCAGCAGUGGGGAAUAUUGCACAAUGGGCGCAAGCCUGAUGCAGCCAUGCCGCGUGUGUGAAGAAGGCCUUCGGGUUGUAAAGCACUUUCAGUAGGGAGGAAAGGUUGUAGAUUAAUACUCUGCAGCUGUGACGUUACCUACAGAAGAAGCACCGGCUAACUCCGUGCCAGCAGCCGCGGUAAUACGGAGGGUGCAAGCGUUAAUCGGAAUUACUGGGCGUAAAGCGCGCGUAGGCGGCUUGUUAAGCCAGAUGUGAAAGCCCCGGGCUCAACCUGGGAACUGCAUUUGGAACUGGCAGGCUAGAGUACA